GCGCGGCUGGCUCAAUGGUAGAGCAUCAAGCUUCUAUCAUUUUAGCGACUUGAAGGCUGUGGGUUCGAGUCCCACGUCGCGUG